rnacentral:rRNA from 1 species
CCUACGGGGAGCAGCAGUGGGGAAUAUUGGACAAUGGGCGAAAGCCUGAUCCAGCCAUGCCGCGUGUGUGAAGAAGGCCUUCGGGUUGUAAAGCACUUUCAGUGGGGAAGAAAGCCUUGGGGCUAAUACCCUCGAGGAAGGACAUCACCCACAGAAGAAGCACCGGCUAACUCCGUGCCAGCAGCCGCGGUAAUACGGAGGGUGCGAGCGUUAAUCGGAAUUACUGGGCGUAAAGCGCGCGUAGGCGGUCUGAUAAGCCGGUUGUGAAAGCCCCGGGCUCAACCUGGGAACGGCAUCCGGAACUGUCAGGCUAGAGUGCAGGAGAGGAAGGUAGAAUUCCCGGUGUAGCGGUGAAAUGCGUAGAGAUCGGGAGGAAUACCAGUGGCGAAGGCGGCCUUCUGGACUGACACUGACGCUGAGGUGCGAAAGCGUGGGUAGCAAACAGGAUUAGAUACCCCGGAUC